rnacentral:tRNA from 1 species
AGAGCUGUAGCUCAGCAGGGGGAGCAGCUGUUCCUCGCACAGAAGGUCAUGGGUUCGAUCCCCAUCAGCUCUA